GAUGAAGAACGCAGCGAAAUGCGAUAAGUAGUGUGAAUUGCAGAAUUCAGUGAAUCAUCGAAUCUUUGAACGCACAUUGUGCCCCUUGGUAUUCCAUGGGGCAUGCCUGUUCGAGCGUCAUUUGUACCUUCAAGCUUUGCUUGGUGUUGGGUGUUUGUCCUGAGGGACUCGCCUUAAAGUGAUUGGCAGCCAGUGUUUGGUUUUGAAGCGCAGCACAAGUCGCGAUUCAAAGCUAUACGCCCGCUUCCACAAGCCUUUUUCACUUUUGACCUCGGAUCAGGUAGGGAUACCCGCUGAACUUAAGCAUAUCAAUAAGCGGAGGA
rnacentral:misc_RNA from 1 species